rnacentral:tRNA from 1 species
GGGCGUGUGGCUCAGUUAGGAGAGCACUUGCCCCGCAUGCAUGAAGCCCUGGGUUAGAAUCCCAGCAUGCAUA